rnacentral:lncRNA from 1 species
AAUAAGAGACACCACUGCACCACAUACACCAAGGAGAAGCCAUGUGAGCACAGAGAGAGAAGGCAGCCAUCUACAAUCCAAGGAGAGAGCCUUUACCAGAUACCAACCCUGCUAGUAGCUUGAUCUUUGACUUCCAGUCUCCAGAACUCAAUAUUUGGGGUGAAUAUUUUAAACACAGUCAUCCCUUGAUAGCUGCUGGAGAUUGGCUCCAGGAGCCUCCGCGGACGCUCAAUGAGAACGAUCAGCCUUCCAUAUACACAGAGUUUGGAGCCACGCAUUCAACCAGCUGCGGAUCGAAUCCACGUAGCUUUCACGUUUGGGUGAGGAAAUCAGGGCUCAAAUGACUUGCCCAAAGUCAUGCUGGUGGUAAAUGUAACAGUAGAAGCUUGUCUGCCCAACUCCAAAGCCUGUGCUGUAACCACUGCCACCAAGUAGCCUUGUGUCCCUUCAGGAAAAGGUAUGUGCUAUGCCAGAUUGAAAUAUUAGAAAUUGCCAGAUUCUAUUGCCUUCUUAAGGUUUUGUGUUGCUUUUGUUUUAUUUUAUUUAUUGUUUUCUCCCAAAUGAAUUAAUC